CCUGCUCUCAGAAUUGAUGCAGAUGCCUGGAGCCAGUGGCUGGCUCUCUGCUCUCCCUCUCAGUCUGCCACACCAGGAAGCUCAUUUUGAACCACGCAAGAAUCUUCCUCCCAUUCUACUUCUCAUAUUUGGCCAGGUGGAGGCCCCUGCGAAGCAGAUCUCCUUGUCUCUCUUCUAACUAAUGCUCAAAGUCGCAGACGAUCCCUCUGCACUAUGAGCAAACAGGCUUUCUGCUUGGUAGCCCUUUGUCUCCUUGUAGUAGGAACCACACAUGGUGGCAUCAUUACUCAGACCCCAAAAUUUGUGAUUGGCCAGGAAGGGCAAGAACUGACCAUGAAAUGUGAACAGAAUUUCAAUCAUGAUUCAAUGUACUGGUACCGACAGGAUCCAGAGAAAGGAUUGGGACUGAUCUACUAUUCAAUAAUUGAAAGUGAUCUUCAAAAAGGCGACCUAUCUGAAGGCUAUGAUGCCUCUAGAAAGACGAAGUCAACUUUUUCUCUCACUGUGACAUCUGCCCAGAAGAACCAGAUGGCUGUUUAUCUCUGUGCCAGCAGCUUAGCACAAGAAUAUGCCCAGUAUUUUGGAGAGGGUACUCGGCUCACUGUUCUAGAGGACCUGACCAAGGUGACUCCACCCAAGGUCUCCUUGUUUGAGCCAUCAGAAGCAGAGAUCACAGACAAACAAAAGGCUACCCUCGUGUGCUUGGCCAGGGGCUUCUUCCCUGACCACGUGGAGCUGACCUGGUGGGUUAAUGGGAAGAAGAUCGACAGUGGGGUCAGCACAGACCCUGAAGCCUCCCAGGAGAGCAAUGGCAUCACCUAUUGCCUGAGCAGCCGCCUGAGGAUUUCUGCUAGCUUCUGGCACAAUCCUCGCAAUCACUUCCGCUGCCAGGUGCAGUUCUAUGGGCUUACAGAAGAGGACACCUGGACAGAGAGCUCACCCAAACCUGUCACACAGAACAUUAGUGCAGAGACCUGGGGCAGAGCAGAUUGUGGGAUUACUUCAGUAUCCUAUCAUCAAGGGGUCCUGUCUGCCACCAUCCUUUAUGAGAUCCUGCUAGGGAAAGCCACCCUGUAUGCUGUGCUUGUCAGUACACUGGUAGUGAUGGCUAUGGUCAAAAGAAAGAGUUCCUGAAGCCAGACAUGAAGAUGAAUCCAAGACCU